rnacentral:sRNA from 1 species
GGAUGUAAGGGUGAUCUGGCUACAGUAUGUCACCCCAUUCAUCACUUGGGUUAACUUAGCUCAUCUGGCUAGCUAGGCCCAUGUCUUUCCUCUCUCAAUGCUCCCAAGUGCAUUCCUUCUGAAACUGUGCACUUUAUUGAAGCAGAUGACUACUACAGAUAAAGGAUGACCAUUCCAAGAGUAUAUAAAUAACUGUGCUCCCCUACUAGAACCUCAAAACAAGCUUCCAUUAUAGAUUAUGAUUUCUGAUCUCUC